GCAGGCUGGGGGCGGUGGGGCCUGGGGAGCUCGGGGUGCCGCACGGGAGAGCGGGAGAAGGGCUGCGGAGUGGAGCGCUGUCCCAAUGCCUCCGUACACCGACCCGCCCAGCCCGCUGCCCCUCACUCCCCUUCCCCGAGAGUUCCCCCGUGGAGUGAGGGGCAGCUGUGCUUUGUGUCAUCCUUGCCUCCUACUACGAAUUGAAGGACAAAAGUGGAGGUAGUGGAUGAAAAAUGAG
rnacentral:lncRNA from 1 species